rnacentral:rRNA from 1 species
UACGAAGGGGGCUAGCGUUGUUCGGAUUUACUGGGCGUAAAGCGCACGUAGGCGGAUUGUUAAGUGAGAGGUGAAAUCCCGGAGCUCAACUCCGGAACUGCCUUUCAUACUGGCAAUCUAGAGUCCGGAAGAGGUGAGUGGAACUCCUAGUGUAGAGGUGAAAUUCGUAGAUAUUCGCAAGAACACCAGUGGCGAAGGCGGCUCACUGGCCCGGUACUGACGCUGAGGUGCGAAAGCGUGGGGAGCAAACAGG